UACAUCAUUUCCCACUUCUGUAUCCUUC
rnacentral:piRNA from 1 species